GGCGUAUAUUACAUUGGUGGAUGUGCAGGAGAGCACUUCAGCCUCCCUGGCCACACUAUAGCAGACCUUAAGGUGGCCAUCCUGCAGCAAAAAAACUUCAGGACCAGACUUCAAAGAGAAACUGCUGAGCUUCAGUUCAUCUGCAAAUUUGACACCAUCAGCUCAGGAUUAAACAAAGACU